UUUUUCCUUUUUCUUCUUUUAAUUUUGUUCAGCAUUAAAGGAGGGAACUUCAUAAACAUUGAUUGUCAUUUACAGAAAACAUUCAGAAAUCAUGUGUGCAUUAUCCAGGGAAUGCUAACAGUAUUCAACUAAUAAUUUACAGGACAUAAAAUAAGGACAAAAACCUAUUACAUUCUAAAGUAAUAUAAAACUCUUUUUUUUAAUUGUUAGGGAGUGCUGUUUUAUUCUAUUUGCCCCUAUCAGCCAAUAAUAAUGCAUGUAAUAAUGUAAGUUAAGCUCCAGAAAAAUCAAAGCCUCUAGGAGGCAUGAUUUCUUUAAAAAAAGAAUAUAAUUAUUACGCUUUUUAGAGUGAAUACUUUUAUUUUACAUAGUCUGGCAAUGCAGGCUGUAUGCGUUGCUAACAAUGACACCCGUGCUGGUAA
rnacentral:lncRNA from 1 species